ACUACGGGGGGCAGCAGUGGGGAAUAUUGGGCAAUGGGCGCAAGCCUGACCCAGCAAAGCCUCGUGAAGGAAGAAGGCUCUCGGGUUGUAAACUUCUGUUAUCAGGGACGAAGCAAGUGACGGUACCUGAUGAAUAAGCAACGGAUAACUACGUGCCAGCAGCCGCGGUAAUACGUAGGUGGCAAGCGUUAUCCGGUUUUACUGGGUGUAAAGGGCGUGUAGUCGGGAAAGCAAGUCAGAUGUGAAAAACAUGGGCUCAACCUGUGGACUGCAUUUGAAACUGUUUUUCUUGAGUACUGGAGAGGCAGAUGGAAUUCCUAGUGUAGCGGUGAAAUGAGUAGAUAUUAGGAGGAACACCAGUGGCGAGGGCGGUCUGCUGGACAGCAACUGACGCUGAGGCGCGAAAGCGUGGGGAGCAAACAGGAUUAGAUACCCCUGUAGUC
rnacentral:rRNA from 1 species